rnacentral:rRNA from 1 species
CCUGCAUGAAGUCGGAAUUGCUAGUAAUCGCGGAUCAGCAUGCCGCGGUGAAUACGUUCCCGGGCCUUGUACACACCGCCCGUCACAUCAUGGGAGUCGGUAACACCCGAAGCCGAUAGUCUAACGAAAGAGGACGUCGUCGAAGGUGGGAUUGAUGACUGGGGUGAAGUCGUAACAAGGUAUC